rnacentral:misc_RNA from 1 species
GUAUUAUAAGAUUAUUUUUUUUUAUGUAAUCUCAAAAUGAGUUCAGUUCAAUUUAAUAAAGGAUAAGAUAAUUGUUGGGGACGGCCAAGAAAAAAAAAAUUAUAAAAACAUCUUUUUUCUUAACCAUGUUUAAUCCCCAACAUAACAUACGGUCAAAGCCAGCACAAUGGGAAGAAGCUUCAAUGAAUUGAAGACUCACUUCAGUAAUGAUCCUUCCGCAGGUUCACCUACGGAAA